rnacentral:rRNA from 1 species
GACGUAGGGCGCGAGCGUUGUCCGGAUUUAUUGGGCGUAAAGAGCUCGUAGGCGGCUUGUUGCGUCGACUGUGAAAACCUGCGGCUCAACCGUGUGGUCUGCAGUCGAUACGGGCAGGCUGGAGUUCGGUAGGGGAGACUGGAAUACUUGGUGUAGCAGUGAAAUGCGUAGAUAUCAAGUGGAACACCAGUGGCGAAGGCGAGUCCCUGGACAACUCCUGACACUGAGGCACGAAAGCUAGGGGAGCAAACAGG